UAAAGUGACUUUAUUAGGAGGAAAUAAAAUAAAAUCGAUUUUUAGUCCCACAUUGAGAGUUGAGGUCAGGGCUGGUUUGGGAAAUUAAUAUAAAAAGGUCCUCUACCUCUUCCAAAGGCCAUUGUGUGAUUUAUGCUAUUUGAUAUUUCUCCAUAGUUGCUGUUCGUGACAGGGGAAGCCAUUUCUGAGGAUGGAAACCCAACUCCACGUAGAGGGGUGGAAUCAUCUAGGAUUCAUCAUUGGGCAUAUUUGCAGGUUUUAAUUAGUUUGAGCUUCAAGAAAUGUAUUCUACUAAAGCAUCUGCUACAGUAAAUGCUACACUACAAUAGUCGCUACAGAAAUUUCUACAGGCUACAGUGAGUGCUACAAUGCUCGCUAUAGUAACGCUACAGUUUUUUGCCACCAUUGUUAGAUUAUUUGCAGGUAUCAUAUUGGAAGAAUUUGGGCAGUGAUUUUGGAAUCAUUUCUAGCGUAUGCAAGGGUUAAAUUCAGAUCAUAUGACAUCACCAUCAUUGCAAAUCUUAAGUUUCCUACACUACAUAAUAUUGGUGCAGAAAAAAGCACACAUACGUAUGUCCACAGUAUGCAUCAACUAGGAAUUGCUCCAAGAGAUCAAUUUGCAAGUUUCAUCAUCCAAAGAGUAAGCUUAAGACUAAACUUUUAGUGCGCAUGCUUGAGAGAACCAGUAAAGACAGAGAACACUACUUCGUGCCUUUCAAAGAGAUGGGUUAUAUCCAAUCAUCAUCUUCCUUGAUGAAUUUGAGUGGUAAAGAGAGCACAGGAGUGAAGGGAGCGUCUGUGGAAGAUGAAACUGCUGACUAUAUAAGUCUAAGUACAUCAGAAGAAGAUAGCAGCGAGGAUGAUGUGACUGAAGAUAAUAUCUUACAAAGAGACAAGGCAUUUUUCUUUAAACUAGGAUUGGAAACAAAUGACCCUGAUUUGAUGCUCAAACCAAUACUUUUGUUAAGACGACAAGUGUAAAAUAUGUUGCUCAACGCGACCAACAAGCUGUUGGACAUACUGUUUUUGUAUAUACCGAAAUAUUGCAUGGUUGGAAAAAUCUUUAAAUAGCUGGUAUAGUUCAUCUAAUUUUCAAAAUCUUCAGUUCUGAAAUUUCAUGCAUCUGCAAAAAAAAUCUGUAUUUCCAAAUACCAGAUACUAUAGAUUUGUCAACUUAAGCAGGUUCUUGGACUGAUCAAGUUAUACUAGUUGUAAGGUUCAUGAUUAACACCA